rnacentral:lncRNA from 1 species
UCCUGUUUGCUCCCGACUGGGAUUUUCCCUAGUGUAGUGGGUCUCAUUCCGGCCCUGUAAGAAUUCCCUUGUUAGAAAAUCGGGAAGGGAAUUUUUUUCUCCUUUGAUAAAUUCUAUUUGAAAAUCAAAGCUAGAUAGGAGAGCUUUCCAUCUAGCAAAUAUUUGUUUAGAAACCAGAUUUUUAACAUCCUUUUGUAAAAUCUCUUUAGCAGAUUUGCAA